CUGCUUGCAUUUUGCGAUGCAGAUUGGGCUUCUUGUAAGGACUCCAGAAGACCUGUAAGUGACUAUUUCAUCAUACUUGGAGGAGCACCCAUUUUCUGGAAAUCAAAUAAGCAAGUUUCAAUAUAUUUGUUAUCAGCAGAGGCGAAAUACAGAUCUAUGAGACGAGUUACAACAGAACUUACUUGGCUUGUUCGAAUCCUUGAAGAUCUUUCUGCACCAGUUGCCCUUCUCAUUCCACUUCAUUCUAACAGCAAAGCAGCUAUUCAUAUCGCUCGUAAUCCCGUCUUUCAUGAACGGACAAAGUAUGUGGAGAUCGAUUGUCAUUUUGUCCGUCAGACAUUUCUCUCUAGGCUAAUCAGUUUGUCCUUUCUUCCUUCUAAAGAUCAGUUGGCAGAUCUUUUCACUAAGCCACUUUCAGGGGUUUCUCAUUCGAAGAUAUUGAGCAAGUUAGGGGUGACAUGGUUACCCUCUAACUUGAGGGGAUGUUAAGAUGAAGAAACCAUAUCCUAAUCUUAUGAUUCAUGGAGCUAUCAAGGAAAAAGAG
rnacentral:lncRNA from 1 species